rnacentral:rRNA from 1 species
AUGCCUCCAGACGGCGACACAGAGCUGGCGGCGGACGAGCUGCAGAGCCUCAGCUUCGGCUCCUCCGAGCGCUCCCGCUCCGCAUCCACCGUCUCCACCGCCACGGCCUCCUGCUCCACCACCUCCUCCUCGAGGCCAAUCGCCGGCGUCCCCGCAUUGCGCUCCUCCAACCCCUCCGCUCUCGCCCCGCGCCUCGGCACGGUGCAGCUCUCCGACAUCCGCUUCGUGCGGCGGCUCGGGGCCGGGGACAUUGGCAGCGUCUACCUAGCUGAGGUGAAGGGCAAGGGCGGGGCGCUGGUGGUGGCCAAGGUGAUGGACCGGAAGGAGCUCCAGGGCCGCAACAAGGAGGGCCGCGUGCGCACGGAGCACGAGAACCUGACGGGGAAUGGGGAAAUCGGUCAAGGGCCUCACAGAGGUGCUUGA